rnacentral:rRNA from 1 species
UUGAGGAAUUGGGGGGGGAGCACCGCAACGGGAGGAGCGUGCGGUUUAAUUGGAUUCAACACCGGAAAACUCACCAAGGGAGACCAUCACAUGAAAGCCAGGCUAAUGACUUUGCUUGAUUCUUGGAGAAGUGGUGCAUGGCCGUCGUCAGUUCGUACUGUAAAGCGUUCUCUUAAGUGAGAUAACGAACAAGACCCUCACUUAUAAUUGCUAACUAGAUCUCCGGAUCUGGUGCACAUUAUCGGGACCGCUGGCGCUAAGUCAGAGGAAGGAGAGGUCAACGGCAGGUCAGUAUGCCCUGAAUCUCUUGGGCUACACGCGCGCUACAAAGGGCGGGACAAUGAGUUCCGACACCGAAAGGUGAAGGUAAUCUCCAAACCCGUCCGUAGUUCGGACUGAGGGUUGUAACUCACCCUCACGAAGCUGGAUUCCGUAGUAAUCGCGAAUCAACAACUCGCGUAUGCA